UUCUUCCCCAAAACUAUCGAUUUCUCCUCCUCCUCCUUCAAUUUCUUCCCCAAUCUCUCCUCCUCCCAACUCGCAUGACCCAUCCACCUCACGAUUUCUCCCUCCGUUGCUUUCUAUAUAAGUUGUUUCUAGUACACAAGGAGUCCAAGAUCAAUAACAUACCCCCAAACAGUUGAUGGGUCGUUCAAAAACUGGAUACGCCACUGAUCUUUGGUAUUCUAAAAUUAUUGUUUAAUAUUGAUUUUUGAUGUUAUAUUGCAAGUUAGUUUAUCAAGCUUCGAUCUUUAGUUUUGCAAAAUAGGAUUCGAGCUAAAUCUUAUUCUCACUUGGCGAGCUGAGUCCGAGCUUAGCUUUACUUGAUUCGAUUUGUUAAACACACUACGGAUGAACGAGACUAAAAUUGUUGGAGCUUUAUUCGGUGAGCUUGAAUUAAUUUUAAGUUCUACUACACUAUUUUAAUAUCUUGACAUAUAUAUAGGAGAGAUCUUCGGCAAAAAAAAUUUUUCGCCUUCAGCGAAUCUUGCCCCCCUGCCGGGGAAUCCUGGAUACGCCACUGGCUACAAACCUUACGUAAUCCAUUAAGGCUUGCAACCUGACUUAGUGCGUCCACCUGAUCAUAACAGUCUAAAACCAUCUAAUAGAAUAAUGAACCUCAAAUAUAUAUAUUGGUUCGAUGGGUGCGCUCAGUCGCACCCAAUCUGAUCGAAUUUACUAGAACCAGGCCAUUUAGUCUGACUACCAAUUUAUGGUGAGAGAUUUUGUACCCAUCCAAUAUUUAAUAUGUACAUGAUACAGGCAUUAGGCAUUAUUAGAAAGUUUCUAAUAAUAAGCCCACGGCCCACCGAACAUCAAAGUUUCAAACAUAUGGUAACAUUAUUAAGUGGGCCUCUUCUCGACCAAACUUAAUGUCGGCCCAUUUUCUACUUUUUUUUUGCUAUAUUUACAAUAAAUAUCCAUCCAUAAAAGCUCUCAUCACUCAUCAAGUCAUCAGGGUUCAAAGAUAAUGCAUAUUUGAUCACCUCUUAUCACAAGCAAAAAAAAAAAUAGUGGUCAGUCGACCUUUGCAAUUUUUCCGACGACGAAGUUUUUGUGAUCUUUUUUUGAAUAAAAUCGUGAUAAAUAUAUACCCCAAAAAAUGGUACACUACAUGACAGUGAAUCUCGUUGAACCUGACCUCGUAUAGGGGCACGACCGAAGGCUACAAGUAAUACGACUCAUGAUAUGAUAUAAAUAAAGUCGACUAACAUACUUCCUAAAAAACUCGUCUGUCGAUCUAGUUUCAGGUUUCCACACACACCCCUCUCUCAUCUCGGUUUCAAAAAAUCCUUCAAAAAGAUUGGGAUAUGCUUCCACCUGUUAUGUGCUCAUGUUCAUCCGAGGGUCCGACACUCUCACACAACCAUAAUCCGUUGAAGGCAUCCUCCUUCGAAGGAGACAAGGUCGGAUUCGUCAGCAAUCAACUAAGUCGAUUAGGCAGACGUGAAGCAAAAUUAAGGUAGUCACCGGGUAUCUCGUCAUAUGUUUCAUCAUGCAUUCUCCCGUUGAUAUCUGAUCCAUCGAUUUUUCUCGUUUAAUAGUUAAGAUUCAAAUAUCUGAAAUUAUCUGAUUUAAACUAUCAUCGGAAUCUAAUUUUGUAUACAGAAAUAGGUAUAUUCCAAAUUUAUACACAUGAACAAACCACACCUGUUGGUUGUCUGUUUGUCCGUUUCCACAG
rnacentral:lncRNA from 1 species